rnacentral:rRNA from 1 species
GUGGGGAAUUUUGCGCAAUGGACGAAAGUCUGACGCAGCAACGCCGCGUGGGUGAUGAAGGUCUUCGGAUUGUAAAACCCUGUCGUCAGGGACGAAGGUUGGGGCUUUAAUAGAGUUUCAACUUGACGGUACCUGGAGAGGAAGCCCCGGCUAACUCUGUGCCAGCAGCCGCGGUAAUACAGAGGGGGCAAGCGUUAUUCGGAAUUACUGGGCGUAAAGGGCGCGUAGGCGGUUCUUUAAGUCGGAUGUGCAAUCCCCGAGCUCAACUUGGGAACUGCAUCCGAAACUGGGGAGCUAGAGUGCUGGAGAGGGUGGUGGAAUUCCACGUGUAGCGGUGAAAUGCGUAGAGAUGUGGAGGAACACCAGUGGCGAAGGCGGCCACCUGGACAGUAACUGACGCUGAGGCGCGAAAGUGUGGGUAGCAAACAGGAUUAGAAACCCCAGUAGUCC